rnacentral:lncRNA from 13 species
CUUGGAAAUGAGCAGUUAGGCAUUAUCCCUCAGGGAUGCGUGAAGACUUUGGAUCCUCUUCUGGAGAAAGGAAAAUGGAAUCCAUUCACCGUCAUCACGGCUGUCGAGCACUUACUAGCACAGCUGCACUACAGUCUCCAGCCUCCCUGGAAGCGAUGUACAGCCGUGUUACCCGUGGGAUGUGAGCAGAACAGGAAAUUCAGACCUUGAAGAACCUUUGCAGUAUCUGCAGAAGCCUUUGCCCCCAAACAAGGUGACCCAGAGACCAGGCUCUGGGGGUGGCGGUCUGGCUGUGCAGAAGGCAGGAUGGACUUGGAUGAGAUGAGAGAUCACUGAGUUGCUGACCAAGGUAGUUUGCAGAGAGAGAAUGGGGGCCUGACGUCCAGCCAUGUUCUAAGA